AGUCGAGGGGCAGCAUGAUUUGUAGCAAUACAGAUUGAUGGCGACCGGCGCACGGGUGAGUGACGCGUAUGCAACUUACCUAUCAGAGGGGGAUAGCCCGGCGAAAGUCGGAUUAAUACCCCAUAAAACAGGGGUCCCGCAUGGGAAUAUUUGUUAAAGAUUCAUCGCUGAUAGAUAGGCAUGCGUUCCAUUAGGCAGUUGGCGGGGUAACGGCCCACCAAACCGACGAUGGAUAGGGGUUCUGAGAGGAAGGUCCCCCACAUUGGUACUGAGACACGGACCAAACUCCUACGGGAGGCAGCAGUGAGGAAUAUUGGUCAAUGGCCGAGAGGCUGAACCAGCCAAGUCGCGUGAAGGAAGAAGGAUCUAUGGUUUGUAAACUUCUUUUAUAGGGGAAUAAAGUGGAGGACGUGUCCUUUUUUGUAUGUACCCUAUGAAUAAGCAUCGGCUAACUCCGUGCCAGCAGCCGCGGUAAUACGGAGGAUGCGAGCGUUAUCCGGAUUUAUUGGGUUUAAAGGGUGCGUAGGUGGUGAUUUAAGUCAGCGGUGAAAGUUUGUGGCUCAACCAUAAAAUUGCCGUUGAAACUGGGUUACUUGAGUGUGUUUGAGGUAGGCGGAAUGCGUGGUGUAGCGGUGAAAUGCAUAGAUAUCACGCAGAACUCCGAUUGCGAAGGCAGCUUACUAAACCAUAACUGACACU
rnacentral:rRNA from 1 species